rnacentral:rRNA from 1 species
UACGAGGGGGGCAAAUGUUGUUCGGAAUCACUGGGCGUAAAGGGCGCGUAGGCGGCCUGCUAAGUCGGAUGUGAAAUCCCUCGGCUCAACCGAGGAACUGCAUCCGAUACUGGCGGGCUUGAAUCCGGGAGAGGGAUGUGGAAUUCCAGGUGUAGCGGUGAAAUGCGUAGAUAUCUGGAGGAACACCGGUGGCGAAGGCGGCAUCCUGGACCGGUAUUGACGCUGAGGCGCGAAAGCUAGGGGAGCAAACGGG